rnacentral:rRNA from 1 species
AUGCGCCGAUCCCUCUUCGUAAAAAUAGUGCAACCUUGCGAGGUGAAUUGUCAGUUUUUUACUCAAAGAAGAAAUGUCGCGGGCUUGUUGGGUUUUAGCGCAUAUCAAAAAAUCCCGGCUGCUAUGCGGGUGAUCGCAUAUGGCAUUCCGACUGACUAUGCCGACGAGUAUCUUCACAUUGGCGAAGAUACUACAAUUGAGUCAGUGCGUAGGUUCGACAAAGUGAUCAUCCGCGUUUUUGGUCCCGUCUAUCUUCGUGCACCCAACGAGCAAGACACUAAAAAGUUGAUGACAGCAAAUGAGAAGCGAGGUUGGCCCGACAAGGUAGGAAGCAUUGAUUGCAUGCACCGGACUUGGAAAAACUGCCUGAAGGCAUGGCUCGGGCAGUUUUGUGGUAAGUCUCGUAAGGCAACAAUUCUGCUAGAGGUCGUAGCAUCUGAGGAUUUAUGGAUUAGAUUUUUUUAUGCCGGGUACUCUCAAUGA